AGGACAAGGCCGGAGCCUGUGUCCGCCCGGCAGCCGCCCGCAGCUGCAGAGAGUCCCGCUGCGUCUCCGCCGCGUGCGCCCUCCUCGACCAGCAGACCCGCGCUGCGCUCCGCCGCUGACAUGUGUGCCGCUCAGAUGCCGCCCCUGGCGCACAUCUUCCGAGGGACGUUCGUCCACUCCACCUGGACCUGCCCCAUGGAGGUGCUGCGGGAUCACCUCCUCGGCGUGAGCGACAGCGGCAAAAUAGUGUUUUUAGAAGAAGCAUCUCAACAGGAAAAACUGGCCAAAGAAUGGUGCUUCAAGCCGUGUGAAAUAAGAGAACUGAGCCACCAUGAGUUCUUCAUGCCUGGGCUGGUUGAUACACACAUCCAUGCCUCUCAGUAUUCCUUUGCUGGAAGUAGCAUAGACCUGCCACUCUUGGAGUGGCUGACCAAGUACACAUUUCCUGCAGAACACAGAUUCCAGAACAUCGACUUUGCAGAAGAAGUAUAUACCAGAGUUGUCACACUUGAGCUUCUGAUGUCUGUACUAGUCAAGAAAACCCUGUUUUUUCACAAAGGAGGAAACAUGGAAUGUAAGCAACCUUCUCAAGGUCACGUAGCUAAUAACAGGCAAAACAGGAGAACACUAAAGAAUGGAACAACCACAGCUUGUUACUUUGCAACAAUUCACACUGACUCAUCUCUGCUCCUUGCCGACAUUACAGAUAAAUUUGGACAGCGGGCAUUUGUGGGCAAAGUUUGCAUGGAUUUGAAUGACACUUUUCCAGAAUACAAGGAGACCACUGAGGAAUCGAUCAAGGAAACUGAGAGAUUUGUGUCAGAAAUGCUCCAAAAGAACUAUUCUAGAGUGAAGCCCAUAGUGACACCACGUUUUUCCCUCUCCUGCUCUGAGACUUUGAUGGGUGAACUGGGCAACAUUGCUAAAACCCGUGAUUUGCACAUUCAGAGCCAUAUAAGUGAAAAUCGUGAUGAAGUUGAAGCUGUGAAAAACUUAUACCCCAGUUAUAAAAACUACACAUCUGUGUAUGAUAAAAACAAUCUUUUGACAAAUAAGACAGUGAUGGCACACGGCUGCUACCUCUCUGCAGAAGAACUGAACGUAUUCCAUGAACGAGGAGCAUCCAUCGCACACUGUCCCAAUUCUAAUUUAUCGCUCAGCAGUGGAUUUCUAAAUGUGCUAGAAGUCCUGAAACAUGAAGUCAAGAUAGGGCUGGGUACAGACGUGGCUGGUGGCUAUUCAUAUUCCAUGCUUGAUGCAAUCAGAAGAGCAGUGAUGGUUUCCAAUAUCCUUUUAAUUAAUAAGGUAAAUGAGAAAAGCCUCACCCUCAAAGAAGUCUUCAGACUAGCUACUCUUGGAGGAAGCCAAGCCCUGGGGCUGGAUGGUGAGAUUGGAAACUUUGAAGUGGGCAAGGAAUUUGAUGCCAUCCUGAUCAACCCCAAAGCAUCCGACUCUCCCAUUGACCUGUUUUAUGGGGACUUUUUUGGUGAUAUUUCUGAGGCUGUUAUCCAGAAGUUCCUCUAUCUAGGAGAUGAUCGAAAUAUUGAAGAGGUUUAUGUGGGCGGAAAGCAGGUGGUUCCGUUUUCCAGCUCAGUGAAAGAAACAAUUCACUUACCAGCCUCCUCACCCCAUCCUCCACCAUUUCCUUAAUGUUCCAUGGUAUUUUCAACGGAAUACACUUUGAAAGUUCUCAGAAUAACUGUAGAAUGUGCUGGAAAUGGAACAUUCUCAGAUAAGGAGGAACUGGCCAGAUCAAACUAAGCUGUGUUCCCAUCCCUCCUGAAACAGGAUCUUAUGGUGCUUUAGCCCAGGACGUCAAGUAUCCCCUAGAUUUCUAAAUUUGGUGCCCUGGAACACUUGAGAGACUUCAAAUGGCCUUGGUGAUUUUUGUUUUUGUUUUUCUUCCACAAAAGUUGGUUUCAUCCACACCUGAGUUAAGGAACAAGUGAAGGAUGGCUUUGUGUUUGUAAAGCGCUUUGAAAACCUUGACUGAAGCACAGCAACAGAUAAAGGCAAGAAAGGCUUAAUUUAUCAAAGUAUUGCAGAACAGAUGAGCCCUCAAAUUGGAGCUUUGCCCAGGAAGGUUAUCCGGGAAAGAAUUCAGUGUUAGACAGCAUCUUUUGUUGAAUAGUACUGCUCCCUACAGAGCAGGGCUAACUCAUAGGCAGUGCAGCUAAAGUUGACAACAUAUGAGUUCUUGGCAGCUGUAUUUAUACUCACUUAAACCUGCUUUCAAUUACAUGCAAAUUAACGGGUGGGUGGAUGCAAAUUGAGGGGCAGUUUGUUUAGAAUUUUCUAGCAAAGGGGUAGUAACUUCCAGGUCAUCCUCAUAGCUUUUGUAAAUUGUCAUGGUGCUGGUGGGAGUGUCUUAUGCUAAUGAGCAAUGAGGGCAUCUAUGGAUUGCUUUGGUAGCCAUCUGCUGGUUCCUACCAGUUUCUUCACUUUAUCCUGUUUAGACCAGAUCCUGUUUUGGUCAGCAAGGUUGUGACCAGAAAACAAGGUUUAGACCAGAUCCUGUUUUGGUCAGCAAGGUUGUGCCUGUCUCCUACCUCAAAAGGUUACUCAAAAAGAUAAAUUAAGGGGCUCAGAAAUACAAGUGCACACACUUCUUUCAAUUCAUGAACUUUCUUAGUGGAACUAUGAAAGAUGAAUUGGCAACUUACGUAUUUUGGACUAAUUUAUAUAACCACAACAAACCCUCCAGCAUCAUAAACGUGUCCUGGCAUAAUGCAAUGGCAUGCUAUCCAUCCCGUAAAAUCUCAUGGUAGUGACUCAGAAACGUGGGGGUAAAAGAGAAGCUAUGGAGUUUAGGUUGUUUGUUUAUUUAUUAAAGCUGGGUAAUAGGCUUUUUAUGUCAUCCAGGACAAUUUUGCAAUCUCUUAUGGAUGUAUUAUUUAUUGUAACUUAUGGGGGAAACUCAUGAUGAGACUCACAUUCCCUAGAAAAUUUUCACAUUCCCUAGAAAAUUAUUGCCCAGACUAAAUAAGAAGUCAGUAUAAAUGCAUAUAAAAACUCAUUUAAUGUUGUUUGUAGUACUGUAGACCAUUUAACAUGGCAUAAUUUAAUCCAAAAGAAAUUAUAAUUAAUCAGUCAGUUUGCUCUGAAAUAUACUUGGCUGUUCUCUUAUGCUUUUUAUGUCUUUGUAAAUUUCAUACUUAAAAAAGGUUAAUUAGUUGGUUUUUUGAAAGAUUUAAAAAUGGUUAAUUAGUUGGUUUUUUGAAAGAUAGAAAUCUGUACCUGCAGAAAACAAAAUAAUGGCCUAUUAAGUCAUAUUUAAUUUACUAAUCAUGAAGUUGUAAAUUUUAAUCAACAUUCAUUUAAGCAACAUUUCAUAAUAAAUACCAGGUAUGGGUCAGUUCUGAGGAUUAAAAAUAACAUUCAUCUCUUUGAAGAACUCACAGUCUGGGAUGGGAGGUGAGAGGAAACACAUAGACAAUAUGUUAUGUUUAUGACAGAUGUAUAGAGAGCUAAGGGUGUUUAAGGGGGAAACUGGUUCUGUUGGGUACAUAGUCCGCAGAGAAUACAUAGGGCUAAGUGUGGUGGUGAAUCUUUCACAGAAGUGACAUCUAAGCCUGGAAGAAGAGUAGGAAUUUAUUUUCCAUGUGAAAACUCAAAAAGGUAUUUCGAGUAGAGCGUUCAGCAUGAGCAAUAGCAGCUCAUCAUAAAGACUUGACUUCUGGAAAAGUAAGAUAAGAAUGAAGUGGAUGAAUCCAGUCUUCGUAAGAAUCACCAUGGGUGUUGGUUCAAAAUGAAGGUUUCCAGGCCCUUGUCCCUAUACAUUCUGAUUCAGUAGGUUUGUCCUGGGGCCCAAGAAUUUGCAUUACCAACAAAUACCUUGGUAUGGUCAGGCAGUGGGUGUAGUGAGGAGAGUCAUCCUGGGUAUGACAAGGACCAGGUAUAAUCAGGUGUGUAAGCUAAUGAAGAGAAGGCACCAGGCUCACUGAGUGCAGAAACUGUGGGUCUCACGUACAUUGGUGGUUUUCCUAUUCACUGGCAGAUAACUGUUGUUGUUUCCCAGGCUGAUCUUGAUAUCCUGGUCUCAAGUGAUCCUCCCACCUCAGCAUUCUAAAGUGCUAGGAUUACAGACAUGAGCUACUGCACCCAGCCAAUUGGAGGCCUUGCCCCAGCAGGUGGGGAAGGAAAUGCCAGCCAAGUUCCCACCACAUGCAGAAACCUGAGAGGGUGAACCCUACCCAUCAACACCUGGAGACCUUUUCCUGACUCUGGGACCCGCGACAGACAGAGUAGCCCCUGCAUGGGUGACUCCCUGAUUCCCACGAGGCCCCAGGGCUGCCGUGGCUCCUGCUGCUCCACAUAUUGUGGGGCACCUUGAUAGCCGAGGUUGCCUUAAGUUACCUCCAGCUUUGUUUCUGUCACUGCAAAUCAAAGAGCCCAGCCUAAAAUCCUCUGUAGCCUUCUUAUUUCCCCCACGGCAUGUGGCCACUCUCUACCCUCUCGCAAGCCUUGCCAGAGAUGCCAUCCUCCACUUCCACUGGGCACCUGGAGCCUGAACCUGGAAUCUUCCAAGACCCCAGAUCAGCCUCUGCUGACAGUUCUCUUGUAAAGAUACUGAGGAUAGGAUUACAGAGGCAGUCACACUUCUGAAGAUGACUUCGUGGACUGGAGACCAAUUGCAGGGCACCCUUGGGAGCCAUGAGCUGGACGGGACAGGGCAACAUGAUAUAAAGAGUCUGGGCCACUUAAGUUACCACUGGGGGAGAGUCUUCCCCUGAUUCAGGAAUACAUGGAUUGGAAUGGGGCAGCUGGCCCCAAAGAAAAUCUGUGAAAUGUUAAGACAUUGCUAAUUCAGUUAUUGAAAUCCAGGGCUGUUAGUUUAUGCCCUUGUUGAGGUCUUUCAGGGCUCUGUCCCUGCCCACCUGGACUGACCAAACACAAACGGGUGGAGGACCUUUCAGUGGACAGAGGUCCUGUGACCUUUGUAGGUGGGAUCAAACUUUCCCUGCUGCCAAAGGAAGCUUGGACUCGGAAGAAAGAGCCUCACCCAUGGGUGUGGACACAGGUCUUCUGCUGCAGUGUGCCCCACCAUUACUACCUGACAUGCUUGUGGGCACAGAAUGGGUAAUGACAUGGCACUGCUUUAGCUUCUAGGCUUCUUGCAGGGCCAGCCAGGGAUUGGGAUGGUCAGAGCUCAUGAAUGAUCUCCUCUGGCUGCAAUCAGCAUUUUCCACUGGCUCAAAUGUACUGUACAAAUAAUAACUCUUUUUUUUUUUUUUUUGAGACAGAGUCUCACUCUGUCACCCAGGCUGGAGUGCAGUGGUACGAUCUCGGCUCACUGCAACCUCUGCCUCCCAGGUUUAAGCGAUUCUUCUGCCUCAGCCUCCCAAGUAGCUGGGACUACAGGCGUGCACCAUCACGCCUGGCUAUUUUUUGUAUUUUUAGUAGAGAUGGGGUUUCACCAUAUUGGCCAGGCUGGUCUUGAAUUCCUGACCUUGUGAUCCUCCCACCUCGGCCUCCCAAAGUGCUGGGAUUACAGGCGUGAGCCACCGUGCCUGGCCACUUUCUAUUUUUGCAGUGAGCAAAUCAAAAUCAGAGAGCGCUGUCUUUCUACGAUGUGGCUCCCAACCCACUGAUGGCCUGUCCUGGAUGCCAGGCACUUGUUUGGGUUGGAAGCGGACUGCUCCACAGCUGCAGGCUUUUUUGUGGUUAGUUGUGGCCCACAGGAUACUGGCAGCUGGAGGCAGAGCAGUGGUGCCUUUUGAAGCCAUGGAAGACCUGCUGAUUGCCAGCAAAAUGUCUUCCCAGCCAGUUGUUCCUGGAGCCGCUGUGCAGGGCUCUGGAGAUGGUGUGUGAAUGCUUGAGACACGGCCUAAGUCUCUUUGAAUCUCUCUGGGAGAUUCUGAUAUAUGCUGCCCCAAUUAUUAUAGCAAAGAGCCAACAUACUUGGAGGAGAAAAAAAAAGCUAGUCAAAAGAUUUUCUGCUCAGGUUGAAGAAUAUCUUAAAGUCAGUGUAAUCGAUUAGACUGAUUAUACUAGUUGAUCAAGCAGCCACUCCUCUGAAGUUACAAAGAGAAUUUGGCAGGACUUAAUAAAUAUUUGAACAGG